rnacentral:rRNA from 1 species
ACACUCCUGCGCGAGGCAGCAGUGGGGAAUUUUGGACAAUGGGCGAAAGCCUGAUCCAGCAAUGCCGCGUGAGUGAAGAAGGCCUUCGGGUUGUAAAGCUCUUUUGUCAGGGAAGAAACGGUGAGAGCUAAUAUCUCUUGCUAAUGACGGUACCUGAAGAAUAAGCACCGGCUAACUACGUGCCAGCAGCCGCGGUAAUACGUAGGGUGCAAGCGUUAAUCGGAAUUACUGGGCGUAAAGCGUGCGCAGGCGGUUUUGUAAGUCUGAUGUGAAAUCCCCGGGCUCAACCUGGGAAUUGCAUUGGAGACUGCAAGGCUAGAAUCUGGCAGAGGGGGGUAGAAUUUCACGUGUAGCAGUGAAAUGCGUAGAUAUGUGGAGGAACACCGAUGGCGAAGGCAGCCCCCUGGGUCAAGAUUGACGCUCAUGCACGAAAGCGUGGGGAGCAAACAGGAUUAGAAACCCGAGUAGUCCCAUGA